GACGAACGCUGGCGGCGUGCUUAACACAUGCAAGUCGAACGGUAAGGCCCUUUCGGGGGUACACGAGCGGCGGACGGGCGAGUAACACGUGAGCAACCUGCCCUUGUCUCUGGAAUAACAGUUUGAAACAGCUGCUAAUACUGGAAAUUUAUCGUCUCCUUCCUGGGGGGUGGUGGAAGGCUCGGGCGGUCCGGGAUGGGCGCGCGGCCUAUCAGCUUGUUGGUGAGGUAAUGGCUCACCAAGGCUUCGACGGGUAGCCGGCCUGAGAGGGCGACCGGCCACACGGGGACUGAGAUACGGCCCAGACUCCGACGGGAGGCAGCAGUGGGGAACAUUGCACAAUGGGCGCAAGCCUGAUGCAGCAACGACGGGUGCGGGAUGUGGGCCUUCGGGUUGUAAACCGCUUUCAGUAGGGACGAAGGGUGACUGACGGUACCAGCAGAAGAAGGACCGGCUAACUACGUG
rnacentral:rRNA from 1 species